CCUACGGGAGGCAGCAGUGGGGAAUAUUGCACAAUGGGGGGAACCCUGAUGCAGCGACGCCGCGUGAGUGAAGAAGUAUUUCGGUAUGUAAAGCUCUAUCAGCAGGGAAGAAAAUGACGGUACCUGACUAAGAAGCCCCGGCUAACUACGUGCCAGCAGCCGCGGUAAUACGUAGGGGGCAAGCGUUAUCCGGAUUUACUGGGUGGAAAGGGAGCGCAGACGGCUGUGCAAGUCUGGAGUGAAAGGCGGGGGCCCAACCCCCGGACUGCUCUGGAAACUGUAAAGCUGGAGGGCAGGAGAGGUAAGCGGAAUUCCUAGUGUAGCGGUGAAAUGCGUAGAUAUUAGGAGGAACACCAGUGGCGAAGGCGGCUUACUGGACUGCAACUGACGUUGAGGCUCGAAAGCGUGGGGAGCAAACAGGAUUAGAUACCCCGGUAGUC
rnacentral:rRNA from 1 species